GUCAUCGUUAAUCACGUUGACAGGAUGACGUGCUAGAUAUUUACCUUUUGCUGCACAUUAACAUUGCUCGUGAUUUUGUCCAAAGUAUGGCUGUGAUUAAGUGUUGCCGACGGCAGUUCGAUUUGAAUCUCAUAACAGUCGAGCCCGGUUUGUUUCUUUAUAUGCUGGCUUUCUUUCUGGGCAACCCAACCUUCCAGGCCUUUGUGUAUAACAAAGUGUGCAUUGACAAGUACAACGAGACUUUCUGCGACAGCCUUCGCAACAAGACGUUCCAAGAGGACCACAAAACAGAAGAGGAUUAUGUCCAGUCUGAGACGUCCUACUGGAUCUUAAAGAAAAACGUUGUAGAUCGAAUUCCGUCGUGUUUGAUUGUAGUGUUUAUCCUAGGAUCCUGGGGUGACAAAGUGGGUCGGAAACUACCUGCUAUUUUACCCAGUGUGGGAGCAACGUUGUCUUCCAUUGUGUACUUGCUUAUGUCCAUUUACCCUUCAAGUAAAGUGGAUUAUGUGAUGAUUGCUGGUGCAGUAAAUGGUCUGUCUGGGGGGUUUUCGGGCCAGUUGAUGGCUGUGUACAGCUACGUGACGCACAUUGCUGAUCCCACCAAUAGAACUACGCGAUUAGGAUUCAUAGAGGCUGUUAACUUUUUAGCUGGAACAGUUGGUGUCUUCAUAUCGGGAGUGAUGUUGGACAGUACGAGUUUCACAUUCGUCUUCGCUUUCAUAACUGGGUCUUCGUUCAUAGGACUUGUAUACGCUAUCAUACGUCUAGAGAACCUAACGGCCAGCACAACACGACCCGAGGGUGAAAGUUUCUGCGAGUAUUGGUUUCUUGGAUCUCUCAAGGAGUCUGGUCGUUGUGUGAUGAAGAAAAGGGAAGGAAAGAGAACUCUGUACAUCUUCUUACUGCUCAUUGUCUUCAACCUCCUUGUUAUCGGAACAGUGAGUGAAGGGGACGUCCUCCUCCUGUACACAAGGCGAGCUCCACUCAGCUGGUCACAGACAACGUUGGGUUACUAUCAGGGUCUGGAGAACUUACUUCGUAGUAUAAUGAUGUUCACAGUUCUGCCACUAUGUAGGAAGUUGAGGAACACCACUUUAUCACUCUGGGGCUUCACGUCCAAAACCAUCGGUCUGGUGGUAUUGGGACUCAGCAAACGGACAUGGCAAGUCUUUAUAGUGUCACCGAUUUCCAUGUUUCAAGGCUUUCCACUGGCUGUUCUUCGGUCAACCAUGUCGAGUUUGGUCAGCCAGGAUGAACAUGGUGGCUUCAUUUUGUUCUGAAAAGACUGGUGCUCAAUGAUACUAUAAUUACAAAAACCGUGACAGAAGACACAGGUGACAUUAGCAAAGAGGACAUUCAGGUGGAGACUGCGACGACUCACUUGUAAAAGUCAUCAGUCACAACUCGGGUAGAUGUAGAUCUUUUGCCUUCAAAAUACAAAUAGUUCAAACGGAUCAUAUUAAUUAAUAUGUUCGAGAAAUACACAAUACUCCAGAUAGAUCAGGUUCGAGUGUUAAGACACUGGAUA
rnacentral:misc_RNA from 1 species